rnacentral:pre_miRNA from 1 species
UGAGAACUGAAUUCCAUAGGCUGUGAGUUGAUGAGGAUGCCCUAGGGAUUCAGUUCCACA